GACGAACGCUGGCGGCGUGCUUAACACAUGCAAGUCGAACGGAAAGGCCCUGCUUUUGUGGGGUGCUCGAGUGGCGAACGGGUGAGUAACACGUGAGUAACCUGCCCUUGACUUUGGGAUAACUUCAGGAAACUGGGGCUAAUACCGGAUAGGAGCUCCUGCUGCAUGGUGGGGGUUGGAAAGUUUCGGCGGUUGGGGAUGGACUCGCGGCUUAUCAGCUUGUUGGUGGGGUAGUGGCUUACCAAGACUUUGACGGGUAGCCGGCCUGAGAGGGUGACCGGCCACAUUGGGACUGAGAUACGGCCCAGACUCCUACGGGAGGCAGCAGUGGAGAAUAUUGCACAAUGGGCGGAAGCCUGAUGCAGCAACGCCGCGUGCGGGAUGACGGCCUUCGGGUUGUAAACCGCUUUCGCCUGUGACGAAGCGUGAGUGACGGUAAUGGGUAAAGAAGCACCGGCUAACUACGUG
rnacentral:rRNA from 1 species